rnacentral:rRNA from 1 species
UGGGGAAUAUUGGACAAUGGGCGAAAGCCUGAUCCAGCCAUGCCGCGUGUGUGAAGAAGGUCUUCGGAUUGUAAAGCACUUUAAGUUGGGAGGAAGGGCAGUAAGCUAAUACCUUGCUGUUUUGACGUUACCUACAGAAUAAGCACCGGCUAACUCUGUGCCAGCAGCCGCGGUAAUACAGAGGGUGCAAGCGUUAAUCGGAAUUACUGGGCGUAAAGCGCGCGUAGGUGGUUUGUUAAGUUGGAUGUGAAAGCCCCGGGCUCAACCUGGGAACUGCAUCCAAAACUGGCAAGCUAGAGUACGGUAGAGGGUGGUGGAAUUUCCUGUGUAGCGGUGAAAUGCGUAGAUAUAGGAAGGAACACCAGUGGCGAAGGCGACCACCUGGACUGAUACUGACACUGAGGUGCGAAAGCGUGGGGAGCAAACA